rnacentral:rRNA from 1 species
CCUACGGGUGGCAGCAGUGAGGAAUAUUGGUCAAUGGACGAGAGUCUGAACCAGCCAAGUAGCGUGAAGGAUGACUGCCCUAUGGGUUGUAAACUUCUUUUAUAUGGGAAUAAAAUGUUCCACGUGUGGGAUUUUGUAUGUACCAUAUGAAUAAGGAUCGGCUAACUCCGUGCCAGCAGCCGCGGUAAUACGGAGGAUCCGAGCGUUAUCCGGAUUUAUUGGGUUUAAAGGGAGCGUAGGUGGAUUGUUAAGUUAGUUGUGAAAGUUUGCGGCUCAACCGUAAAAUUGCAGUUGAAACUGGCAGUCUUGAGUACAGUAGAGGUGGGCGGAAUUCGUGGUGUAGCGGUGAAAUGCUUAGAUAACACGAAGAACUCCGAUUGCGAAGGCAGUUCACUGGACUGCAACUGACACUGAGGCUCGAAAGUGUGGGUAUCAAACAGGAUUAGAUACCCUUGUAGUC